GUAGACGCUAUACUCUAAGAUUAACCCAUGCAUGUUUAUUGAAUAUAAAGAAAAGACGAACAGCUCAGUAACUCUUAUUUGAUUUGAUGUAUUAGGAUUCUAACUAUGUUAAAUUAUAGGUAACAAUAAUACAAUAAGAAUAAGAUCUAUCAGUUAGUUGUUAAGGUAAUGGCUUAACAAGACUAUGACGGAUAACGGUAUUACUUUGUAAUAUUCCGGAGAAGGAGCCUGAGAGAUUGCUACUAAGUCUAAGGAUUGCAGCAGGGGCGAAACUUGACCUAUGAUAUUAUAUUGAGGCAGUUAUGAGUAGUAUUUUAUAAUUAUUGUAGUAUUGUAAGUACAUAUUACAAGAUAAAUCGGAGGGCAAAUCGAGUGCCAGCAGCCGCGGUAAUACUUGUUCCGAUAGUGUGUAUGAUGAUUGAUGCAGUUAAAAAGUCUGUAGUUUUUUUAUAAUAAGCAUUGUAAGGUGUACUGUAUGGUUAGGAGAGAGAUGAAAUGUGAUAACCCUAACUGGAUGAACAGAAGCGAAAGCUGUAUACUUAAAUGUAUUAUUAGAACAAGGACGUAAGCUAGAGGAUCGAAGAUGAUUAGAUACCAUUGUAGUUCUAGCAGUAAACUAUGUUGAAUCAUAGAUAUAUUUUGAUAUAUAUUUAUGUAGAGAAAUUAAGAUUAUAUUGACUCUGGGGAUAGUAUGAUCGCAAGAUUGAAAAUUAAAGAAAUUGACGGAAGAAUACCACAAGGAGUGGAUUGUGCGGCUUAAUUUGACUCAACGCGGGGUAAUUUACCAGGUAUAACAUGAUAUAAUAUUUUAUCAUGAUAGUGGUGCAUGGCCGUUUCCAAUGGAUGCUGUGAAGUAAUGAUUAAUUUCAACAAGAUGUGAGACCCUCAUUUAGACAGAUGUAGUGAUACAUAUGAAGGAGAGGAUUAAAACAGGUCCGUUAUGCCCUAAGAUAAUCUGGGUUGCACGCGCAAUACAAUAAUAUUUGAUAUUAUAAGGGAUAAUAUAAUGUAAGAUAUAUUUGAACAUGGAAUUGCUAGUAAAUUUUAUUUAAUAAGUAGAAUUGAAUGAGUCCCUGUUCUUUGUACACACCGCCCGUCGCUAUCUAAGAUGGUAUUAUCUAUGAACAAAUUUAUAAAGUGAAUAGAUAGUACUAGAUCUGAUAU
rnacentral:rRNA from 1 species